CCGCUCUUCCCACUUUGCCAUCUGGAGGCUUCCAGAAGGGAAAACCCCCAAAUCCUCCUCGGGUCUCCGCUGGACGAUCAAACGAACUCCCGAAAAUCCCACACAAAAGAAGCGAAAAUUAAAACGACAUGACCCCCCUCAAGAACUCGCGCUCCGCCCUCUCCCGUCUCCUCCGCCACAAGCCCGCCGCCGGCCGGCCGCAGCCCCCGCCCCCGCCCUCGCCGGUGUUGGGGGAAACGGCCUUUCGGCACUACCACGCCGCCCCGCAGCGCCCAGGGUUCAUUCAAUCCUUCAGCCGAAGACCCCUCCGCCACGAGCCCGCCGCCCUCUUCCGGCCGCCGCCGGCGCAGGCGCAGGUGCCGCCACCCCGGCACUACUUCACCUCCUCUCGCCGCCCGGAGGUCAUCCACUUCACGCGCCGCCGCGGCGGCGCGCGGUGGUACCACGAUAGGCGGAAGGUCGCCGCGGUGGUCCUCCUCACCGGCGGCGGGGCCAUCGUCGUCUACUUCGGCAACCUCGAGACCGUGCCCUACACCAAUCGCACCCACUUCGUCCUCGUCUCGCCCCAGCUCGAGCGCCAGCUCGGCGAGUCCCAGUUCGCCGAUCUCAAGAAGGAGCUCGCCCCCAAGAUCCUGCCCCCGCUCCACCCCGACAGCGUCCGCGUCCGCCUCAUCGCCUCCGAGAUCGUCCGCGCGCUCCACCGCGGCCUCGCCGACCGCCGCAGCGACGACUUCGAUGACGCCUCCUACGGCGACAUCUCCACCGACAUCGCCGUCAAAGCCCGUGACUUGGAUCCCGAGGGCGUGAUGCAUCGGGUCUCGCCUGGCAAGACCGCGAGCACGGCCGCGAGGGCUCAGCGAGACGACGAGCUUCUCGAUGACAGGUGGGUGGCCGAGAGCCGGAGACGGGGGAAGGCACGUGGAGCGCAGCCACAGACGAAGCACCUCAAUGAGCUCAAUUGGGAGGUGAUCGUCGUCAGAGAUAAGCUCAUCAAUGCAAUGUGUUUGCCUGGUGGUAAAAUUGUAGUCUUCACUGGAUUGCUCGACCAUUUCAAGACAGAUGCUGAGAUUGCGACAGUGCUUUCGCAUGAGAUUGGGCACGCUAUCGCGAGGCACUUGCCAGAGAUGAUCACCAAGGGCAUGUGGUUUACUAUCCUGCAGCUUAUCGUCCUACAGUUUAUUUACAUGCCAGACUUAAUUAAUGCAAUGUCGACAUUACUCCUCAGACUGCCCUUCUCACGAAGGAUGGAGGUAGAGGCAGAUCACAUCGGGCUCAUGCUUCAAGCAUCUGCUGGUUUUGACCCACGCACCGCUCCCAAGGUCUACGAGAAGCUAGGACAAAUCGCGGGCAAUCAAUCAGUACUGAAAAGCUACCUCUCUACUCAUCCUUCGAGUAAGAAGCGAUCGGAGCUCUUGUCUCGAGCCAAGGUAAUGGAGGAGGCGAUGCAGCUAUACAGGGAAGCUUGCGCCGGCCACGGGACCGAAGGUUUCCUCUAAGGUUGCAGUUUCGAACUCUCCUGCGUGCGGCGUAAGUCGUUUGGUGGCGGUGGGUGCCUGGCGCGGAAACAUGCCCUUUGUUGCCUGCACAGUGACGGCCAGUAAGAAGAGUGUAUUCUGUGUCUGAAGAUAUUUGUUCUGUGAGUUGUUACUGUCUGUUCUUCUCGGGCUGAAUCGUCCACAUUUUCUUAGCAGAAUGUGAUGGAGCUGCUUCAUUUGUGAUCAGGGAAGAAAAGGGAAUAGGAGAAGAGUUUGUGUUAAUAAUCGUCUUCCAAGAGCAGCUUUUAUAAUCUCCCAUAUUCCUUGGGUUUAUCGGUGUUGAUGAUCGCCACGUUGGUUGUACUCAUUGUCAUCUACUCCAGCUAGUUAGGAGUCAGCUGGUCACGGAAGAUUCAGAUGAUAUCCACAAGGUCUAUAAUAUAACUGAAUAAUCUUCAAACC
rnacentral:rRNA from 1 species